UCUACACUCCUACAACCCCAUUAGGGGCAGAAGGAAAAUCCUCACUCGAACACAAAAAAGGGGGGAAGAGGAAAAGAAAAAUGAUGAACUACACCAGUGAUAAGUGAAAAACAGACUACAUCGAAGACACAAGGGACCUCGUCUCAACGAGGAAAGAGACUCUUAUCAAAAACCCUCAGUCUCUAAGAGGGAACUCAGUGC
rnacentral:lncRNA from 1 species